UUUCCGUAGGUGAACCUGCGGAAGGAUCAUAAAUGUAACCGGACCGUUCUUUUGCCAUCCACCGCAUUUUAUCGGAAAGGAAGAUAUCAUACUCCCUGUGUCUAUUUACCUUUGUUGCUUUCGCGGGCCGUCCUUUACUGCGCCUCCUUCGGCUGAUCAAGCCCUCAAGUGGAUAACAUCUCUUCUAUCAGUGUUUUCUUAGUACUAUACAAUAGUUAAAACUUUCAACAACGGAUCCCUUGGUUCUG
rnacentral:misc_RNA from 1 species